GUACUGUGGGGAAUUGUCCGACGAGGAUGGGAUUCGAACCCACGCGUGCAGAGCACAAUGGAUUAGCAGUCCAUCGCCUUAACCACUCG